CCUACGGGAGGCAGCAGUGGGGAAUAUUGCACAAUGGGGGAAACCCUGAUGCAGCGACGCCGCGUGAGUGAAGAAGUAUUUCGGUAUGUAAAGCUCUAUCAGCAGGGAAGAAACCCACCCUCCGGGUUUUCUGCCGGUACCUGACUAAGAAGCCGCGGCUAACUACGUGCCAGCAGCCGCGGUAAUACGUAGGGGGCAAGCGUUAUCCGGAUUUACUGGGGGUAAAGGGAGCGUAGGUGGCAAGGCAAGUCAGAUGUGAAAACCCGGGGCCCAACCCCGGGAGUGCAUUUGAAACUGUCUGGCUAGAGAGCAGGUGCGGUAAGUGGAAUUCAUAGUGUAGCGGUGAAAUGCAUAGAUAUUA
rnacentral:rRNA from 1 species